rnacentral:lncRNA from 1 species
CCUCUUCAUAUUGCUUAGUAAUUUAUAUCACUGUUUCUUGAAAGGUAAUUUGCAUAAUAGGUCUCCCAAAAAUAAGGGUUCGAUGUAACGGGUAUCAGGGAGAGAAUAUUAUUUAGUUUUAGUCAUACAUUGAAUUAUCUUAAGCAUGCUCAAAUUCUAUAUGUUUCUUUUCGACCCUCCUUUAGCACGACCAUCUAUUUUGAUCCCUUAAAUGGAGGAAUAUUUAGCCUGAGAUAUUUUUCUUUUUUAAUAUGCCUCACCUCUGCUUCUAGAACUCCUAUUGGUUGAAAAGAAAUUGUGCUAAAAUUCCUCUAUGUGAGCCUUAUGCAACAUAGAUAUUUAAAAAUCCUAUUAAUGAAGGAAGAAACAAGUGAGCAUUGAGUAAAUACUUGA